rnacentral:rRNA from 2 species
UAAACUUAUACAACUUUCAACAACGGAUCUCUUGGCUCUCGCAUCGAUGAAGAACGCAGCGAAAUGCGAUAAGUAAUGUGAAUUGCAGAAUUCAGUGAAUCAUCGAAUCUUUGAACGCACCUUGCGCUCCUUGGUAUUCCGAGGAGCAUGCCUGUUUGAGUGUCAUUAA